rnacentral:rRNA from 1 species
GGCUCAGGAUGAACGCUAGCGGCAGGCUUAAUACAUGCAAGUCGUGGGGCAGCAUGAGUAGCAAUACUUGAUGGCGACCGGCAAACGGGUGAGGAACACGUACAUAACCUUCCUUCAAGCGGGGAAUAGCCCAGAGAAAUUUGGAUUAAUACCCCAUAAUAUAUUUGAUAAGGCAUCUUAUUAAUAUUAAAGCUUCGGCACUUGAUGAUGGGUGUGCGGCUGAUUAGAUAGUUGGCGGGGUAACGGCCCACCAAGUCUACGAUCAGUAGCUGAUGUGAGAGCAUGAUCAGCCACACGGGCACUGAGACACGGGCCCGACUCCUACGGGAGGCAGCAGUAAGGAAUAUUGGACAAUGGACGAAAGUCUGAUCCAGCCAUGCCGCGUGAAGGAUUAAGGUCCUCUGGAUUGUAAACUUCUUUUAUAUGGGACGAAAAAGGGCAUUCUUGUUCACUUGACGGUACCAUAUGAAUAAGCACCGGCUAACUCCGUG